rnacentral:sRNA from 1 species
UUGCAAAUCUGGCCAAAUCCCGAGGCACUCGGGAACGGAGGACCCAAUUUUGUAGGGGUUAAUUCCACGAUUCGUGGAAGGGAUGAGUAACUCUUUCGCCAUCCUACCCGUCAGCUAACUUCGUCGGCUAAAGCGAGGGAGGUC